GGAGCUUUGGCGCAGCGGUAGCGCGUGUGAUUCCAGCUCGGAACUUCCACAAGGUCAUCGGUUCAAAUCCGAUAAGCUUCA